GUAGGGAAUAUUGGGCAAUGGAGGCAACUCUGACCCAGCCAUGCCGCGUGCAGGAAGACGGUCCUCUGGAUUGUAAACUGCUUUUGAAUGGGAAGAAACGUAGCUUUGCGAAGCUAUUUGACGGUACUAUUAGAAUAAGCACCGGCUAACUCCGUGCCAGCAGCCGCGGUAAUACGGAGGGUGCAAGCGUUAUCCGGAUUUAUUGGGUUUAAAGGGUGCGUAGGCGGCUUUAUAAGGCUGGGGUUAAAGGUGGCAGCUUAACUGUACGCAUGCCCUGGAAACUGUGAAGCUUGAGUGACUUGGAGGUAGCUAGAAUUCCCUGUAUAGCGGUGAAAUGCAUAGAUACGGGGAGGAAUACCGAUUGCGAAGGCAUGUUACUACGAGUAAACUGACGCUGAUGCACGAAAGCGUGGGGAUCAAACAGGAUUAGAUACCCCUGUAGUCC
rnacentral:rRNA from 1 species